rnacentral:rRNA from 1 species
GAGUUUGAUCCUGGCUCAGAUUGAACGCUGGCGGCAGGCCUAACACAUGCAAGUCGAGCGGUAGAGAGAAGCUUGCUUCUCUUGAGAGCGGCGGACGGGUGAGUAAUGCCUAGGAAUCUGCCUGGUAGUGGGGGAUAACGCUCGGAAACGGACGCUAAUACCGCAUACGUCCUACGGGAGAAAGCAGGGGACCUUCGGGCCUUGCGCUAUCAGAUGAGCCUAGGUCGGAUUAGCUAGUUGGUGAGGUAAUGGCUCACCAAGGCGACGAUCCGUAACUGGUCUGAGAGGAUGAUCAGUCACACUGGAACUGAGACACGGUCCAGACUCCUACGGGAGGCAGCAGUGGGGAAUAUUGGACAAUGGGCGAAAGCCUGAUCCAGCCAUGCCGCGUGUGUGAAGAAGGUCUUCGGAUUGUAAAGCACUUUAAGUUGGGAGGAAGGGCAGUAAAUUAAUAACUUUGCUGUUUUGACGUUACCGACAGAAUAAAGCACCGGCUAACUCUGUGCCAGCCGCCG